rnacentral:rRNA from 1 species
AACGCUAGCUACAGGCUUAACACAUGCAAGUCGAGGGGAAACGAUAUUGGAAGCUUGCUUCCGAUAGGCGUCGACCGGCGCACGGGUGAGUAACGCGUAUCCAACCUGCCCACCACUUGGGGAUAACCUUGCGAAAGUAAGACUAAUACCCAAUGAUAUCUCUAGAAGACAUCUGAAAGAGAUUAAAGAUUUAUCGGUGAUGGAUGGGGAUGCGUCUGAUUAGCUUGUUGGCGGGGUAACGGCCCACCAAGGCGACGAUCAGUAGGGGUUCUGAGAGGAAGGCCCCCCACAUUGGAACUGAGACACGGUCCAAACUCCUACGGGAGGCAGCAGUGAGGAAUAUUGGUCAAUGGGCGAGAGCCUGAACCAGCCAAGUAGCGUGCAGGAUGAAGGUCCUACGGAUUGUAAACUUCUUUUAUAAGGGAAUAAACCCUCCCACGUGUGGGAGCUUGUAUGUACCUUAUGAAUAAGCAUCGGCUAACUCCGUGCCAGCAGCCGCGGUAAUACGGAGGAUGCGAGCGUUAUCCGGAUUUAUUGGGUUUAAAGGGAGCGCAGACGGGUCGUUAAGUCAGCUGUGAAAGUUUGGGGCUCAACCUUAAAAUUGCAGUUGAUACUGGCGUCCUUGAGUGCGGUUGAGGUGUGCGGAAUUCGUGGUGUAGCGGUGAAAUGCUUAGAUAUCACGAAGAACUCCGAUUG